CAGAUCCCGGAGGACUGGCGAUCCCACCAGGUACUAGCCGACCUCCUGCAUGCAACACAACAACAACAACGGCACAUAGACAAAAGAGAGAAAGGAGUUCUAUCAGGAUUGCCGAGCUCGACAGUGGCGUAGAAGAGAAGUCGAAUGAGAGGAGAAGGUUGACGAUUUAAAGUUCAUCAAGUAGAAUUCGAUCUGACUUCGAGACAUUGUUUAUGUGUAUCUACGUGAUUAUUAAAAUAAAAGAGAGAAAAAAUAAGUAAAUAAAUAAAAAUUGACAAAUUAGAGAAUAAAGAUAAUUCACACAAUAUAAAAAUAAAUAAAUAAAUAAAAAAAGAAGACAGAUAUAUUGACAGAUAAAUAGAUAGAUAGAUAAAAAGAUGGUCGGAUAAGUACAAGACGAAGAGAGGAAAAAAAAAAAAAGUCACGCUCGAUCUUUGAUCUUUGAUCGUCCGUUGACAUAGUCGAUGGAGCCUCGCGUUAAUGCGAGGAAAGGGGAUCGUUUUGAGCAACGUCGAUCGCAGAGAUUUCACGACGGUCGCACUCGGUUACGUCGCAAGAAUGCCGACGGAUGGCCUGUACGAUCUUGAGUCACCCGAAGGUGGAACAACCGGUCUCGGCUACCGCCUGACUAAGUCAAAUUACAAAGGCAGGCAAGCAAUGACGAUGAUAAUGAUAAAGAUGAUGAUGAUGAUGAUGAUAAUUAUAAAAAAUGAUUUACGUACGAAUGAUAAUUACGUAGUUAAAUAUACUUAAAUGAUAACUAGAUAAAUAUAUAUAUAUGCAUAUACAAAUAUAUAUAUAUAUAUAUACAUACAUAACAUACGUAUACGUAUAUGUAUGUUGUAUAUAGGAAAUAGAAUGAGAAGAGAACGAGAGAUGCAUUAUCCGAAGAAUAACAUAUCAUAUGGUUACUACGUAAUGCUCACAAUUCGUAUUGUUAGUGAUGCCAAAUAGACAAUGGAACGAAUGACACAUGAACGAAUGAUCUAAUCGUAUUCUAGCAAGAGAUUUCUAGUGGUAGUAAUAAUAUAAUGCACGGAAAGGAGACACAAGAUCGUGCAAAAAUUCGUCGGGGCAUAAGUACUCAUGGCGGCGAAAGCAUGAGAAAGCACGGUGGGGGAGAUCCUAUGCUUAAUUAAGGCGAGGACAACGGCACUGCAAUUAUUCGUUGAGUACCCGCCGGCCUGACAGCCAUUCAACUGCUGCUGCUGCUUGCUUGCUGGCUUGCUUGCUUGCUUGCUUGCUUUCUUUCUUUCUUUCUUUCUUUCUCGUUUCACGCUGCUUUUUCGUUCUACACUUUUCUCCGGGCGGUUCCAAAAAAAAAAAGAAAGAAAAAAAAAGAGAGAGAGAGAAAGAGAAAAAAAUAGAGAAAGAAUCCGUUCGAACUACGAAUCAUUCGUAUCUUUCCAGAAUCGAGAAAAAUAGGUGUCUCGAGAAUUUGACGUUUCUCGAGAGAUACGCCAAACUCGUCCCGACGUUUUCUCUUUCUCUCUUUCUUUCUCCUUUUUUUUUUCUUUCUUUCUUCUCUUUCCAAGAACAAGAAAUUUCAAACGAUAUUGAUUUCUUUUCGAAACGAUCAUAAAGAGAAAGAGAGAGAGAGAGAGAGAGAUGGGGGGGGGGAGGAAGAGAGAAAUAACUUCUCUUGCAAUUAAGACUGGAGGAACAAAAUAAGAAAGAUAAAAAAGAAAAGAAUAAAAAAAAAAAAAAAAGAAAAA